GGUGGAAUAUUAAAAUGUUGGUGAGACAUGAAUGAAUAGUUAUCGUGGUAAUCUGUAGGUAUAAAUGAGCGCGUAAGUUAGAAUCUCCCAUAUCUUGAGACAAAUAGAUUAUUUCUUAUAACAUUGGUCUAAAAUAUACGGUUCAUCAUGCAGAAAACCUGCAUAUUUGUGGCUACUUUUCUAUGUCUUAUGCCACUUGUAUGCCUAGGAUUUGAUGGAAAACUGGAUUUGAAAAUUCUAAAGAGAGAACAGAAGGAAAGCUCAUUUAAUCAGAACAAUGCAAUUCGGACGGCUGCAUUAAAAGGGGGAAGAAAAAGAGGCAUUCUUGGAGAGUUGGAGUUCAUGAAUAUGCUUGCACGACGUAUGCAGCUUCAGCGACAGAUAGGACAUGGACUGAAUAUAUCAUCAAUGGGCAGAUAAUUCGGAACAAGUACCUUAACAAUUGUUCAAGGAGAAGGCGAGUUUCAGAAGGGUUUGUUUUCAUGAACUGUUACAUGCAGCACACAAGGUUGUACCAAGAAGAUUGCACUGCUUAUAAAGACCUAUAACAUGUUCGGGUGAUGUAGCAUUAAGAAAGCACAAAUAAACUGAUUGUAAACAUCAUCACAAACCCGUUUUAUUAUACAAAUUUCUUCGCAAUUGAUAAGCACUUUGUGUCGCUUCUUGCAAAAGUGUACUUAAACGUCUAGAAUAUAAACUUUUAAAAAGGAUGGUUUAGAAAAUGUUUUGUCGUAUUAAAUCAUCCAUAAAUUAUCACGAUAAUCUGUUAUCGUGUACUAUAUUAUUCUAACAUAUAAAUCGGUCAACGAGAAAGUUUUCUAUCAAGAAACAACGCUUCAGCGUUGCAACACAGAAAUUAUAAAGAUUGUUUACGUCAUUCUCCUUUGGUUAUUUUUGGCCCGAAGACAUCAUUUAAAAGUCUCUACAUUACCAAGCAUUAGCA